GUGUCAGCAGCCGCGGUAAUACGUAGGUGGCAAGCGUUGUCCGGAUUUACUGGGCGUAAAGGGUGUGUAGGCGGAUGUUUAAGUAGGAAGUGAAAGGUUGGAGCUCAACUCUAACAUUGCUUCUUAUACUGGGCAUCUUGAGUUUCGGAGAGGAAGAUGGAACGACACGUGUAGCGGUGAAAUGCGUUGAUAUGUGUCGGAACACCAAUGGCGAAGGCAAUCUUCUGGACGAAUACUGACGCUGUGACACGAAAGCAUGGGUAGCGAACAGGAUUAGAUACCCUGGUAGUCCAUGCCCUAAACGAUGUUCACUAGGUGUCGGGGAAUUUCUUCGGUGCCGCAGCUAACGCAUUAAGUGAACCGCCUGGGGACUACGGCCGCAAGGUUGAA
rnacentral:rRNA from 1 species